UACGUAGGGCGCAAGCGUUGUCCGGAAUUAUUGGGCGUAAAGAGCUCGUAGGCGGCUUGUCACGUCGGGUGUGAAAGCCCGGGGCUUAACCCCGGGUCUGCAUUCGAUACGGGCUAGCUAGGGUGUGGUAGGGGAGAUCGGAAUUCCUGGUGUAGCGGUGAAAUGCGCAGAUAUCAGGAGGAACACCGGUGGCGAAGGCGGAUCUCUGGGCCAUUACUGACGCUGAGGAGCGAAAGCGUGGGGAGCGAACAGG
rnacentral:rRNA from 1 species